rnacentral:tRNA from 1 species
GUUUAAAUAGUUUAUUAAAACGCUAAUUUUGUAAAUUAGAAAAGAAUUAUUCUUUAAAUU